GUCAAGUUGCCAGAGUGGUUAAUGGGUAUGACUCGAAAUCAUAUGACUUCGGUCGCACAGGUUCAAAUCCUGUACUUGACG
rnacentral:tRNA from 4 species